UUAGCCAAUAGAAGCGUGCAGAGCCUUCCGACUGACAGCCGCUGCCCGCCCCGGGGCCACUUGGCUAGCCAAUCAGACCAAGGCGGUUCCUUUGUGCUAUUCAAAUAACGAACGGACCCCGGGCCUCCAACGCCGCCGCUGCCUCGAAUGUUCUCCUGGGGCCGCGGCACCUCGUGGGACUCGGAGCCUCCGAGGUCGUGGCUCUCAGUUUUGGGUCGCCUCUUUGGAGCCGCGUGGAAACUCGUAGCUACCCUGGACCUGGCUGCUGCGAGCUGGGGGUCGGCUCACCUGAGCGCAGCGAAGAUGGCUCCGCCCCCUUCCGCAUGGUUGGGCCUCACCUGCCGCAGGUGCGCGCGGUUCCCCGUUUCGGGCCACGCGGCGCCUCCUCUUUUCCACCUGCCACGGCCGGGGGUAACCUGGGCGAGCUGAGUCUUCUUCCGAGAAAGGCUGGUGGUGAGGGGGCGCACCUGGGAUCUAGGGUAUCUUCUUGGAAGAGAGAGUUUGGGGCUUGAUUACCUGAUUAGUCCAGGGGCCUCUGGGAAUUGUCAAGGAAAGGCCUCCCCUCUGUUUGACUCAAAAUCCAGUGAAUUUUGAUCUCUAGUAGAGAAGCUUUGUGAUCGUGAGCCUACCCAGGUUGCGGUGGGGGGUGGGGGGGUGGGGUAUUGGGCCAUGAACCCGCCUCAAGCUUCCUCUCCCUUAGGGUGACCUCUUCUUUCCCAACUUAAUAUCAAUGACAGUAGAAGCCCUUACUAAGUGCCUAGCUUGGACCUGUCACCUGAAUUCCUCUCUCAAGGUUCUUGGAGCCCAGGCUUGAGACCCGCUUGAGUGGAGCAACCUGUUAUGAUUUGGUCGCAAUCCUGAGCCCCAGGAGUACCCAGGCCACGGUCUUUUCGAUUUUUAUGUCCUUAUUCUGAGUUAUCUACCAACCAAUUGGACACAGACAUUAGAAAAAGAGAAGAUAUCUAGGAGUCUCUUUUUGCAUUGAGAAGCUUAAAGAGAGUAAGGGGUGUGGAGCGGGGUGGGGUGGGGGAUGAUACAAGAUGCCAGCCAGAAGCUGCAUCCACAGUGUUCAAAGUUCCUUUUGGUACCUAAGUCAGAAAAUUGGCCCAGGAAGAGUCCAGGACUGGGCCCUUGUGGGGCAAGCAGCAUCCACAGAGAUGACUGAUGGCAAAUCAAAGGCUCUUCUGAAACUUUUUGUCUUUGGACCCUCUCAGCACUUCUGUCCCAUGGCUGCUGUCUUAAGGAAAAGAACUCAUGAAUUGUUUAAGUUUUGGCAAGUGUCAAAAGCAGGGAACAGUUUGCUCAGGUUUUCAGAUGAGGAAGCUUGGACACUAGCUCUAAAGAGACUUUGUCGGAGAUCACAGGCUCCAGGCACAGUGCUCUCUGCUCCAUCUGGGAAGUUGUAACUGUUACAACAGCUCUCCUCACCCUGUUUCAGAGAGGCCAGGGAUACACUGUGGGGCUGGGGGUGGGGGUGGGGGUGGGGGUGGGCGCUCAGAACAAGCAGGCUUGACUGGCAUCCUUUUGGCGGUGGGGCGGUGGGGAUAUACCCUCAUGAAUCCUGGGGGUAUAAAGCCAUACCUCUGCCUACCUCCUGAAUAUUUACCUCAGAAGUGUACAGGUUCAGGAAGGGAGUGGGAUGCUCCCACAGCUGGGAGGACUGAGCUGGAACCCAAGGAGUCUGUGGCUCACAAUGCGCGCUGUCCUUUCCCAGUAUUUACUGAAGAAACUUGAGACUUGAGAGAGUUGGUGGCAUGAUUUGAACCCAGUUCUAUAGGUGCCUGGAAAUAUGUCAGUGGGGUCAAGUGCACUUACUCUGGCCCAUCUCCCGAUGAAUGAUUUAAUGCCCCUGACCCAUCCAUCUGUAUAUUGUUUCUUUGUUUGUUUUUGCCAAGUGCCCAGGACCAGGAUUCUCCAGAGCUCCUGGGGAGGCAGGUAUCACUCUUGGUUCCUUGCAUUCAUGGUCACUCUUAGCACUGUGACACAGAAGAUGGCUCCAGGGACCAGCCUGGGAAUGAGAGUGGGUUCAGGCCCCUCUCUUGGGCUUGGUACCCACCCAUCCCUUCCCCAGCCACCACUAUAAAGUACAAAUGAUGAAGUCUCACACUCGGAGGCAGUUGAAGCCGCCACUGAGCCGCACCCCCGGGCACCAAGAUUCCCGACAGACACUGUACCCAGUGCAGGCUGGUCAAGCCUUGUUGACCUGUUAGGUGUGGGACAGGUAAUGGUUGCCUCGCAUGCGCCAAGCCCUGAGUUCAGUCCACGCUACUACAAAAACAGAACAAAGCUAAAACAGGGAAUGGACCUGGGAAUGUGGCUCGAUGGGAGGAGCGCAGUUGCCCAGCACCUCAUGAACCAGGCACCGCGGCCCACCUGCCGUCCCAGCGCUGGGGAGCUGGAGAGAGAUGAAGGUGCCUGCAGAGGCCAGGAGAAGGCGUCGGGCCCCCUGAAGUUACAGGUGUUUGUGAAGGCUUAGCUGGGUGCCAAGAACUGAACUUGGGUCGUCUGUAAUAGGAGCAAGUGCCCUUUCCCUGAGCCAUCUCUCCAGCUGUUUUUUUCGUGUAAUAAAUACUUUUAUAAAUGUAUUUAUAAAUAAAAUACAUUUUAUUUUUGAGAA